rnacentral:rRNA from 1 species
CCUACGGGUGGCUGCAGUGAGGAAUAUUGGUCAAUGGACGCAAGUCUGAACCAGCCAUGCCGCGUGCAGGAAGACGGCUCUAUGAGUUGUAAACUGCUUUUGUACGGGGGUAAACGCAGAAACGCGUACCUGUCUGAAAGUAUCGUACGAAUAAGGAGCGGAUAACUCCGUGCCAGCAGCCGCGGUAAUACGGAGGAUUAAAUCGUUAUCCGGAUGUAUUGGGUUUAAAGGGCGCGGAGGCGGUCGGAUAAGUUAGAGGUGAAACCCCGAGGCUCAAAUUCGGAAUUGCCUCUGAUACUGUUCGGCUAGAGAGUCGUUGCGGUAGGCGGAAUGUAUGGUGUAGCAGUGAAAUGCUUAGAGAUCAUACAGAACACCGAUUGCGAAGGCAGCUUCCCAAGCUACUUCUGACGUUGAGGCACGAAGGCGUGGGGAGCAAACAGGAUUAGAUACCCGGGUAGUC